rnacentral:tRNA from 1 species
AAAGACUUAGUUAAAUUAAUAACAUAAAUUUGUCAAAUUUAAAUUAUUCUAUGAAUAAUCUUUU